rnacentral:rRNA from 1 species
AGCGAACGCUGGCGGCAGGCCUAACACAUGCAAGUCGAACGAACUCUUCGGAGUUAGUGGCGGACAGGUGAGUAACACGUGGGAACGUGCCUUUAGGUUCGGAAUAACUCAGGGAAACUUGUGCUAAUACCGAAUGUGCCCUUCGGGGGAAAGAUUUAUACGCCUUUAGAGCGGCCCGCGUCUGAUUAGCUAGUUGGUGAGGUAAAGGCUCACCAAGGCGACGAUCAGUAGCUGGUCUGAGAGGAUGAUCAGCCACAUUGGGACUGAGACACGGCCCAAACUCCGCGGGGGGGCAGCGGUGGGGAAUCUUGCGAAAUGGGCGAAAGCCUGACGCAACAAUGCCGGGUGAAUGAUGAAGGUCUUGGGAUUAUAAAAUUCUUUCACCGGGGACGAUAAUGCCAGUACCCGGAGAAGAAGCCCCGGCUAACUUCGUGCCAGCCGCCGCCGUAA